UGAGUGCACCAAGAAGGGAGAAGAGCAGCUUCCCGGCAGGCUCCAGGAGCUCCGAAUCAUUCCACACCUGGAAAGUUUGCUACAGAAGCCUUAAAAAAGCCAGAUUUUAAAGUGCCUGCUAUUUGUUUUUCAUCUCACCUCCAGCCAUAAUGCUUUGUUUGCAACACAGUAAUUGUUCCACAGCCAGUGAUUCCUCCAUCAAAACACAAGAAAAUGACUCGGAAUGAGUGAGGCAGCCCGAAGAGUGAGAAGAGCCUGACUAGUUAUAGAGCCAGGUCAAAGGGCAAAUCUACUGUCUCCAGCCCCUGCAAGAAGGGCCAAGAAACCAGCGAUAAACAUAAGGGGAUGGAGAUCAUUCUACUUUCCAGAACUCCGUGGAGGUGAAGUAACACAGGCAUACUUUGCUAAACCACCUAAAGUGGGGGCAGGUGGUGAGACCUUCCAAACACUGUUGCCGGAGUAACAACAGCCUUGUGACUUGUUUGGCCAGUAAAAUGUGAUGGGAGUCGUAGUGAGCCAGCUCCAGUCCUAGCCUCAAGAAGCCUCGCAUAUUUCCUUUCUCUCUCUUGGAUCCUUAUUUUCGCCAUGAAGUCUUGGCUAACCUGCUGGAGGAUAAGAGACCUUGGGGCAUGCCAUGCAGCAUCCAGCUACCCAUUCGCUCCCUGGGCAGAGCUGCUGUUAACUGCAGAUGCCUGAGGGAGUCAAGCCGAGACCAGGAGGAAUCCAGCUGAAUUCAGCCCCAAAUGCCAACCUGCA